rnacentral:snRNA from 1 species
GGAUGUGAGGGGUAUCUGGCUGUUAUAUCUGACACUGCAUGAUCACCAAGGUUGAUUUGGUUGAUUUGACUGGCUUGACAGGUGCCCCCUUCUUCUACUACUCUGUGUGUUGUUCUCAAAGCUGUGUGCUUGGUCAAAGAGGAUGGCCCCCCUUAGAGGAGGAGCAGUCUUUGGGCAAGGAUAUAGGAGUAACUGUGUUCACCUCCCAAUUAGCGCUCAGUAUCUGAGUACCCAGCAUUAGCCAGCGGGAAACACUUCCUUCAAACCUUAACAAGUCCACAGGGGUCGUGGCAUGACCUGGCUU